GGCCGGUGGAUUGCUUGAGCCGAUAGCUGUCACCGUUCAUGGUCAGGAUAUGAACGUGGUGGGUCAGCCGGUCGAGCAGCGCACCGGUGAGCCGCUCGGAGCCAAGGACGGAAGUCCAGUUCUCGAACGGCAGGGUCGAGGGGGCGAUGGGGGGGGCGCGGGCGGCAGAGGGCACCUGGAACGGCAUUCCCGCGCCGGGCGGCGACAGGGCCAGGUAGCCGAGUUCAUCGACAAUGAGCAGCUUCACCGCCUGCAGUUCGCGCUGCAGCUUCAGCAGCC
rnacentral:misc_RNA from 1 species